GGAGUCUAAGUCACAGAAAUUCUCAAAACUGAUAAGCCAGAGCCUCCUUUCAGCACAAACUCCGCACUGAAGAGGGAGGAUUAAAAUUGAUUCAGAGACGGACUAUCAAGACAAAGAAGAUGGUUUCCUCAAAUAUCUAAAGAUCCCUGGAUAAACAUUCAUGUGUAAGAUGCUGUGAGGAUUGAAAAAAGCAAGGAUGGUUACUCUCAUUACUCCUAUUCAACAACAUACUGGAAUUCUCAGCCAGUUAAUUAAGGAUUUUUGAAAGAUGCUGGACACAAGUCACCAAUGUUCUUGUGCUAGAAGAAGAAUUCGUGUCCUAAAGAGCAAUGGUGGUGUUUCAGGACCAUGGACAGUAGCACAUGGCUACAGACACCUAAAAAAGCUCCCAACGCUCACCUCACCCUGCAAGUUCCUCCAGAAGGGCCCGUCAAGGCUGGCAGUGGACACCUUGCAGGUUAAAUCCAUGGUCUUCCUCCAAGUCGGGCUUAGAAAACUCCUCCCCACAAAAUAUCACAUAGUAGGCACUGAAUAAAUUUUUGUUCAAUUAAUUAACAAAUUUAUUACAGCAAAGGGUUGCACUUAUGUGCUCAAUUCACCCAACAAAUAUUUAUUUAAGCCCCUAUUGUGUGACAUGCAUGAACCUUUCAGACAGGAUGUUUUGUGACUGAGGUCCCUGUUUCAUGGUGUGUAGCUGGUGUCUUAUGAGUAUGACAGUAGGCGCUACAUAGGGCUGCUUCCUGCCUGCAUCUCUGGUAGAAAGUAAAGUCUAAUACAAUUUUUCCUGUUUUCUUCUGUUAAAAUUCUGGACCACUUGUUUGUCCAUCAACACUUCUUCUUCUCUUCUGAUUUCUGUCACUCUCCCUAGAGUCUAAGACAUCAGAGAAUGCAAAUAAGGUCUUUCUCCCUCGUCUUCAUUCCCAGCCCUACAGCACCAUCUCAGAUUUUGUACUGUGCAACCAAAUCUUUCCCCACUCCUACUCCCAUUUCCAUCACUCUCCCUAGAGCCUAAGACAUCAGAGAAUGCAAAUAAGGUCUUUCUUCCCCUGUCUUCAUUCCCAGCCCUACGGCACCUAACGUUUCAGAUUUUGUACUGUGCAACCAAAUCUUUUCCCACUCCUACUCCCACUCCCAUCCCUAUUCCUUAAACAAGUACAAAUGUCUUAAAGGAAAAACACCUGCUUUUUGUCAUUGUCUCUUCUGAAGUACCUAGCAUAGAGCCUGGCUUGUAGUUGUGUGUCAGUAAAUAAAUGACUCAAUCAAUAAGAAUAAAAGCCCCAUGAGGAUGGGGACUUUUGACUGUUUUAUAAUAUGUUAGACAUUCGAUAAAUAUAUGUUCAAUUAACUGAUUAAUAAAUUAACAUAUUUAUCUGUGAUA
rnacentral:lncRNA from 1 species